CGAGAAAUAACGCGCGGACUACAAACAAAAUGGCGAACGAGGAACUUCCUGUCCGUCACGGGGGAAACGGCGCUGUCAGUCUCGGAGAAAAACAAGGCUGUGCCGGGCAGUCACACAGGGCGAAACUCACUCAUGGACUACAAACAACAUGGCGACCGGAAGGGAGAGGGCGGCACUUCCNNNNNNNNNNNNGCUGCGGGGCUGUCAAACCCAGCGAAAACAAACCCGUGGACUACAAACAACAUGGCGCCCGUAACUCAGAGGGGACGGGACUUCCUGUCCCGCACGGGGAAUCUGGGUGUCAAUCAGUGUGAAAUUGACGCAGACACGAUAAAGAAAACAGCAACAGGAAGGGUCUGGGCGGGACGUCCUGUCCGUCACCGAGGCGCCGAACGUGUCAGUCCGUGCGGAAAAUAACGCACAAAGUACACGCAACAUGGCGACCGGAAGGGAUGGGGCGGGACUUCCGUUCCCUCACCCGCGAGCGCGGUGUCAGCAGAGACGGAAAAUAACGCGCUCCCUGUGACCGUGAUGACCGCGGAAGCGCGCGCCCGGCACUUCCGGUCCCUCAGGACGACCCCGCUGCCCUUAGGAGAGAAAAUAACGCGCACAGUGCGUCAGGAACGGCGACGGGAUGCGGAGAGGCGGAACUUCCUGUCCUUCACCGGGAACCGGGUGUCAAUCUGGGCAAAAAUUAACGCACAGAGUUAUUUGAAAAUGGCGACGGGAGGUGAGGAGGCGGGACUUCCUCCCCGGGCUAGAGGACUUCAGUGUCAAACCGGGCGAAAAAUAACGCGCAGAGCAAACCCCAAAACGGCGGCAGGAAGUGCAGAGGCGGGACUUCCUGUCCGCAAUGCGGAGCGCGGCUGUCAAUCAUGAGAAAAGUAACGCGCGGAUGAGAACACAGGCGGAAGAGGAGGGGCGGGACUUCCUGUAAAACAGAGAUGACUGCGCUGACAAUCAGGGCAGAAAUUAACCCAACACUACCCGGUCCCGGGCUGUCAAUCAGGGCUCAGUGCUCAGUGCUCAGUGCUCAGUGCUCAGUGCUCAGUGCUCAGUGCUCAGUGCUCCUCACUCAGUGCUCAGUGCUCAGUGCUCCUCACUCAGUGCUCAGUGCUCAGUGCUCAGUGCUCCUCACUCAGUGCUCAGUGCUCAGUGCUCAGUACUCAGUGCUCAGUGCUCCUCACUCAGUGCUCCUCACUCAGUGCUCAGUGCUCCUCACUUACUGCUCCUCACUGUGCUCCUCACUCAGUGCUCCUCACUCAGUGCUCAGUGCUCCUCACUCAGUGCUCCUCGCUCAGUGCUCCUCACUCAGUGCUCAGUGCUCCUCACUUAGUGCUCCUCACUGUGCUCCUCACUCAGUGCUCCUCACUCAGUUCUCAGGGCUCCUCACUGUGCUCCUCACUCAGUGCUCAGUGCUCCUCACUCAGUGCUCCUCACUCAGUGCUCCUCACUCAGUGCUCCUCACUCAGUGCUCCUCACUCAGUGCUCCUCACUCAGUGCUCCUCACUCAGUGCUCCUCACUCAGUGCUCCCCGCAGUGCUCCCCGCAGUGCUCCUCACCUUGAACAGGGCCCCGCCCAGCGCGCUCUUCGCCGCCCUCAGUCCCCACCAGGCCCCACGGUACAGGGCGGUGGCGACCACGCCCGGGUCGGCC
ensembl:lincRNA